rnacentral:rRNA from 1 species
AUUAUGACGGUGGAUACAUUGGUUUCUGGAACGAUGAAGAACGUAGCGAAACGCGAUAUUUAAUGCGAAUUGCAGAAUUCAGUGAAUCAUCAAGUUUUCGAACGCAGCUUGCAAUCAUUGGUUAUCCCUUUGAUUGUGCUUUCUUGACAUGCAC